rnacentral:rRNA from 1 species
GACGAACGCUUGCGACGUGCCUAAGAAAUGCAAGUCGAACGGGGGAGCAAUCCCUAGUGGCGAACGGUCGCGUAACACGUGGGCAACCUGCCCUGAAGCGGGGGACAACAAGUCGAAAGAUUUGCUAAUACCGCAUGUGUCUCGCUGUGGCAUCACAGAGGAGACAAAGCCGCAAGGCACUUCAGGAUGGGCCCGCGGCCUAUCAGCUUGUUGGUGAGGUAACGGCCCACCAAGGCUUCGACGGGUAGCUGGUCUGAGAGGACGAUCAGCCGGAUUGGGACUGAGAUACGGCCCAGACUCCUACGGGGGCGA